CCUACGGGAGGCAGCAGUGAGGAAUAUUGGGCAAUGGACGGAAGUCUGAACCAGCCAUGCCGCGUGCAGGAAGACGGCUCUAUGAGUUGUAAACUGCUUUUGUACAAGGGUAAACGCAGAUACGCGUAUCUGUCUGAAAGUACUGUACGAAUAAGGAUCGGCUAACUCCGUGCCAGCAGCCGCGGUAAUACGGAGGAUUCAAUCGUUAUCCGGAUUUAUUGGGUUUAAAGGGUGCGUAGGCGGUCUGAUAAGUUAGAGGUGAAAUUCCGAGGCUCAACUUCGGAAAUGCCUCUAAUACUGUUGAGCUAGAGAGUAGUUGCGGUAGGCGGAAUGUAUGGUGUAGCGGUGAAAUGCUUAGAGAUAAUACAGAACACCGAUUGCGAAGGCAGCUUACCAAGCUAUAUCUGACGUUGAGGCACGAAAGCGUGGGGAGCAAACAGGAUUAGAUACCCGGGUAGUC
rnacentral:rRNA from 1 species